rnacentral:rRNA from 1 species
UUCGUAAACAAGGUUUCGUAGGUGAACCUGUGAAAUGAUCAUUG